CCAAGCUCUGCUUGGUAUUUGUCCCUCGGACUAUAUAUUUCUAGAAGCGACCCUACUACCGUCAAGUCAAUUAGUAUUAUACAUCUCUUCGAAGCUAUUUAAUGCGAUAAAAAUUUGUACUAGCUCCCUUUUGCCAUUGCCACGUAAAUCAGGCACAAUAUUGGCAUACAUUAUCGUGUUUGUGUGUAGGCCGUUAAACAAUGGCCCCUACCUCGGGAAGAAGAUUUUAAUCAAGCACCUGGAAAAGAAAACCUUCUACCGCUACCUUGGAGAGCGAAUUAGCUUACAACCGCAUCCUGAUGCAGUAGAAUAAAUUAAACAAGACAGCCCUACAGAGACAAGACAGCCCAACAACGUAGCCCUAGACUUCCUUUAACUACCGGCCACGACAAAUUCUACAGGGAUUGGGGACCUCCUUUAGGAACUGUAACGGAAGGACUUAAAGCUGAGUAAAUUUUUACCUUUAUAACUUUUGUACCGAUUACCAGCGGGGUCUCGGUCACGGGCUUAGAAAAUUAACUUGGUCAUCAGUAUACAAUAAAAAUGAUUUUUGUUAAGUUUUUUGUUAUAUUUCAAUAAAUAGCGUAUUUAAAAAUGA